CCUACGGGAGGCAGCAGUGGGGAAUAUUGCACAAUGGGGGAAACCCUGAUGCAGCGACGCCGCGUGAGUGAAGAAGUAUUUCGGUACGUAAAGCUCUAUCAGCAGGGAAGAAAAUGACGGUACCUGACUAAGAUGCCCCGGCUAACUACGUGCCAGCAGCCGCGGUAAUACGUAGGGUGCCAGCGUUAUCCGGAUUUACUGGGUGUAAAGGGAGCGUAGACGGGAGCGCAAGUCAGAAGUGAAAUGCCUUGGCUUAACCAUAAAAUUGCAUUGGAAACUGUUAAGCUGGAGUGCAGGAGAGGUAAGCGGAAUUCCUAGUGUAGCGGUGAAAUGCGUAGAUAUUAGGAGGAACACCAAUGGCGAAGGCAGCUUACUGGACUGUAACUGACGUUGAGGCUCGAAAGCGUGGGGAGCAAACAGGAUUAGAUACCCGUGUAGUC
rnacentral:rRNA from 1 species